AAGGGCUUAGCUUAAUGAAAGCGGCUGAUUUGCGUUCAGUAGAUGUAGGAAUACUCUUACAGUCUUUA
rnacentral:tRNA from 1 species